GACUCAACACGGGGAAACUCACCAGGUCCAGACACAAUAAGGAUUGACAGAUUGAGAGCUCUUUCUUGAUUUUGUGGGUGGUGGUGCAUGGCCGUUCUUAGUUGGUGGAGUGAUUUGUCUGCUUAAUUGCGAUAACGAACGAGACCUUAACCUACUAAAUAGUGCUGCUAGCAUUUGCUGGUAUAGUCACUUCUUAGAGGGACUAUCGAUUUCAAGUCGAUGGAAGUUUGAGGCAAUAACAGGUCUGUGAUGCCCUUAGACGUUCUGGGCCGCACGCGCGCUACACUGACGGAGCCAGCGAGUAUAAACCUUGGCCGAGAGGUCUGGGAAAUCUUGUGAAACUCCGUCGUGCUGGGGAUAGAGCAUUGUAAUUGUUGCUCUUCAACGAGGAAUUCCUAGUAAGCGCAAGUCAUCAGCUUGCGUUGAUUACGUCCCUGCCCUUUGUACACACCGCCCGUCGCUACUACCGAUUGAAUGGCUUAGUGAGGCUUCCGGAUUGGUUUAGGAAAGGGGGCAACUCCAUUCUGGAACCGAGAAGCUAGUCAAACUUGGUCAUUUAGAGGAAGUAAAAGUCGUAAUCAAGGUUU
rnacentral:rRNA from 1 species